CCAUGUCCUGGAUGUAGGAAGGGCCAGAUCCAUUCGCAGCAUGGUACGCAAGUACCAGUGUCUUGAAGUGGAUUCUAGCAGUUACCGGAAGCCAGUGAAGGGAGCGGAGGAGCGGAGUGAUGUGGGAGAAUUCAGGAAGGUUGAUCUAUCUACGUUCUUGGCUGUCCCUGCCACAUUGUGCACAAUAAUGCACACGCUGGUGGCUUGGUGUACUCCGAGAUGUCGGGCUUUGAAGUCGAAGAUUUCUGCGUCGAUCUUGCCUACUGGUUUAAAUCCAGCACCAAGAGAAAGAACAUGCUUCAUGGCAAGUUAUCCUCACAGAACACAUUUAUUCUACUCAAAAGCAUUGAUUCAGAAAUAGUUUGAAGGGCCAAUCUAAAAUACAUAUUUUGUUCUAUUCCGAAUUCUGUGUGUUUUGUGACGCCACGUACAUGGAGGUACUUCAGCAUUUUAGCAUUAGGUGGCUCAGUUUGGAUCUGGCUGUCAACCGCAUACUCCGUGUCGACAAGGCCGUGACAAGCUACUUCAGAUCCACUGACGAAAAGCAAGCCAGGUGUCUGCGGCUCCGUGCCUUAUUUGAGGAUCCAUUGACCGGUUCAUCUCCUCUUCUACCAGGCACUUCUGCCAGUUUAAUCUGUUGUUCCAGAGGCAGCACCCAUGCAUCUAUCUCCUCCAUGGGCAGGUGAGGGCAUUCAUCCGAAAGCUAAUGUCCAAAUUCUUGAAGCCUGCAGCUUUCAGAACAACAAGCUUGGAGAGUUGAUCUUCAGGAUCAAGAAAACCAACUGCCAGACACCCAGCUUGGCAUUGGACUGACUACAAAGUCCACACUGAUAAGGCUGCAUGUGAGAUUCCCUCAGGUGAUGUCACCAAAUUCAACAAGGCAGCAAGAGGCUUCCUGCUUCGGUCUACUGAAUAUGCACUGAAGAAGCUACCUCUCAAUGACCCCCUGCUGCCACAUGCUGAGUUAGUGGACUUCAGGCAGAGACAAAACUCCCAUGUGGAUGAUGUGCUCUACUUUGUCCAAAGAUACAAACACCUUCUUCCUUUUGAGGACCCAAGGGAACAGGACAGGAUUUCGGAUGAGUUCCUGGAGUACCAAAUGCUGGAGGAAACGGAUAUCCCUGACAUGGUCUGGAAAGGUGCCCUGGUGAGUGUUGGAGAGGAAGAACAAUCCCAUCGUAUGGACAUGGUGCGGGCACACUUGACUACGCAGAAGAGCCGAGUAACUGGUAAAGAACAGUUCCCCAGACUUGGGA